UUGGGCACGUGAUAUGUUCUGGCCAAUCAGAUGUGAGGGAAAGUCAGGUGGGGUGGGUCUAGGGCACAGCGCCUCUAGGAGACCUUUUCCUCACUGCUACAGAAAAGAAAAAGCUUUCUGUGGAGUCCUCUCCCCAAUCUUCUGCCUCUGGUCCUCAUCGUGGAGUGGCCGCACCAGCUUGCAUUCCCACCAACAAUGCAAAAGAGAUCCUCUCUCUCCGCAUCCUCGCCAACAUCUGUUGUUAAGAUCGGCCGUUCUGACCGGGGUGGGGUGGUAUCUCAUCACAGGACAGGGUUUCUUAGCUGCGUCUUCCAGGAUGCUUAAGAAUCAACUGCAUGGAAGUGAUGACAAGGAUAUGCCCGUGCAAACCAGGACGCCACCAGGAGUGGAAGUGGGCAUUGCCAAUGAUGACCCGCGGACGAACGACCCAAAGCAGCCCUGCCCCGGGGAAAAUGGGACGCAGGGACACAGUUUCCGCGGCCUGGCAGCUGGGAUGCCCUCAAUUCUUGUUCCAAAUUCCAGCCGAUCCUCAGAAUGUCCUGGGGACGUUGAAGACCAAAGCAGAUGAAGAAGAAACCUAUUUGCAGGGGAACCGAAGAGUUCAUACCUGGAAAGGGUCAGACCAUCGCCGGGCACACCAGAAGACCUCAAUUCUGACAAAUAAUAUUCGUAACGUGCCUAACACUGUGUGCAGGGCCUGAAUAAACGGCAAAUCACCAUCCUCUUCUGCCCCUUUCUGCUGUUUUUUAUCUUCAUCCCGGGGACCAAGAGAUGUCGUGUUUCAUCGGACGGAACCUCCCCGGUCUCCUGCACUGUUGCUCAGAGGGAAGGCAUCUUUUUCAUCCAGAUGAGGACCGGUCCGCGGCCCAGCCAGACAUCCGGCACGUGCCUUCUGGAACUCUGCUCUGUGCCCCACCCAGAACUUGAUCACAUCGAAACUUUUAAAGAAAAAAAGUCACCGUGGCGAAGCAGCUCCCUAGUAAGGAGCUUCAUGGACGGCCACCCCGGGUCCUAGCGCAUUUGAUUCAUUCGCGAGGCCUGGGAACCUUUUAGCCUUGCACUUGGAGGCUGUGUGUUCGCCCCUCUCCUCUCUGUGUCGUGUGUUUGGGCCUCGGUUGUAACGGAUUUUAGGUUUGCGGCUUCACGUGAUACUUCUGGUUUUGCCUUGCCUGACCGAUGGGGUCCAGAAGACGACGCGCUCACCCUGCGUGAGACAUCGCACUUCCAGAGCAGAGCUGCCUGGCGGGAAGGCCUGGAAAAUGAUUUAUGGCUGGUGGGGAGUUGCCUUGCGUGAAAAUAAAGGACGGGUUAACGGGCCGGUCCCCACUCGGGAAAGAGAGUGUUUUUGUUCCAGGAAGCUGAGGACCACAGCUAUUUCAGACAAGCGGGCUUUUGCCAGUUCGUUUCUGCAGAGCCCCACAGAAGGUUGCAGAGCUCAUCAACUUUUCCAGGCUUUGAAGCGGAGAGGCAGCUGUGGUGUGGUGGGAAGUCGGCCAGCGUCGUAGCCGCGAAACCUGGCGUCAGGUCCCAGCCCUGCUGCUUGCUACCUGGCCUCCGUUUCCUCACAGGUGAAACGGGGGUAAUCCUACAUGGCCCCUUCCCCACCCCCAACCCCCCAGUUACUCUGAGGAUGCAAGGGAAUAGCGCGUGAGAUGGCGCGUCAGACUUAGAAUUGGGGCGUUGUAAAUAUGUAUCGGACCGAAAACCAUCAACCAAGCACCCGCCGUCUUGGGGAGGAGAGCUUCUCCAGCUCUGUGGCUCUGAGAACAAAAAUGCCGGAAAUCCCUGAAUUCAAAAUGGCUGCCGCGGCCGCAGUGAGGGCUUCCUCCAGGCUCUCCGUGGUCAGUGUUGCAGGGGUUGUGAGGCGAGGAGACAGGCCUCACUGGCUCCGGGCUGGCCGUGCCCGGACUCUUCAGGGAAUGCCCUCUGUGGGUGGAUAUUGGAUAUUUUAUGCUGGCUUAGGAAGGAUGGCCAAGCGUUCCGGGCUCAUUGACUGGCUGUUUUCCUUGUUUUGUUCACAUGACCAACUACACCGUGGUGACCACUGUCUCCUUUUCUUCUUUGGCCGUUAUAAAUACUACACCUCCCUCGCUUACACACACACACACACACACACACACACACGCAGCAGGACUUUUUUCUCUUGGGACUAAAAGUUGUUUAUUGUUUUGUUCUAAUAAUAAAUUCAGGGCCUACUCACAGUAGCAAAUCACAAUAAAAAUACCUGAUAAUCUCAA